UACGAAGGGUGCAAGCGUUAAUCGGAAUUACUGGGCGUAAAGCGUGCGUAGGCGGUUAUUUAAGUCUGCUGUGAAAUCCCCGGGCUCAACCUGGGAAUGGCAGUGGAUACUGGAUAGCUAGAGUGUGAUAGAGGAUGGUGGAAUUCCCGGUGUAGCGGUGAAAUGCGUAGAGAUCGGGAGGAACAUCAGUGGCGAAGGCGGCCAUCUGGAUCAACACUGACGCUGAGGCACGAAAGCGUGGGGAGCAAACAGG
rnacentral:rRNA from 1 species